GACGGAGGGUGCAAGCGUUGUUCGGAAUCACUGGGCGUAAAGCGCGUGUAGGCGGUCCGAAAAGUCGAGUGUGAAAUCCCGAGGCUCAACCUCGGAAGUGCAUUCGAAACUCUCGGGCUUGAGUACGGGAGAGGGAAGCGGAAUUCCUGGUGUAGAGGUGAAAUUCGUAGAUAUCAGGAGGAACACCGGCGGCGAAGGCGGCUUCCUGGACCGAUACUGACGCUGAGACGCGAAAGCGUGGGGAGCAAACAGG
rnacentral:rRNA from 1 species